UCCGGGCGUUCUUUCCACUCUUUCACCUUCCUGGCCCUAGUGGCUGCCGUUGGGCAUCGCACCAUCCAAGGCAGAGGCACUGUACUUGGAACAUCUAGACACCCAAGGAAGAAAUGAUGCUUCUGCCUGCUAUAUCUUCAUUGAUAAAAAGGGACUCGGGACUGAAUGUCUGUAGAGCACUGUAAAACUCCUCACUCAUCAUUGUGUUUAAAAGAUUUUAAUUUUGAAUGGGGAAAUGGUGAUCAAGGCCACAGCUUAACUUGCAAAUGUCAAGAAUCUCAUCAUCCUUUGUUACUUUGUGAUUGAUUAAUAUGUUGGAUUGCUGACUUGUUGCUAAUGAGCUAAUUUAUAAGCCCAGAGAGGAUCUGACUAUUAAUGUAGAAGUAACAAGCAAAUAACAAAGUGCUGCUGAGCAGGUCUGUGAGCACAGCGCUGUCCACAGCCCCACUCAGGAUGGGUGAGAGAGAGGAAUGCACAAGCGGUACAUCCCCACCUCAAAAGAGACAAGAGGAAUAAACUGGAGGCUCCUUUGGCAAUUAUUAGUAUUUCCCUACCGCGUACGAAGUCGCUGCAUGUAAUA